GAUGAACGCUGGCGGCGUGCCUAAUACAUGCCAGUCGAGCGAACGGACGAGAAGCUUGCUUCUCUGAUGUUAGCGGCGGACGGGUGAGUAACACGUGGAUAACCUACCUAUAAGACUGGGAUAACUUCGGGAAACCGUAGCUAAUACCGGAUAAUAUUUUGAACCGCAUGGUUCAAAAGUGAAAGACGGUCUUGCUGUCACUUAUAGAUGGAUCCGCGCUGCAUUAGCUAGUUGGUAAGGUAACGGCUUACCAAGGCAACGAUGCAUAGCCGACCUGAGAGGGUGAUCGCCCGCACUGGAACUUGGACACGGUCCAGACUCCUACGGGAGGCAGCAGUAGGGAAUCUUCCGCAAUGGGCGAAAGCCUGACGGAGCAACGCCGCGUGAGUGAUGAAGGUCUUCGGAUCGUAAAACUCGGUUAUUAGGGAAGAACAUAUGUGUAAGUAACUGUGCACAUCUUGACGGUACCUAAUCAGAAAGCCACGGCUAACUACGUG
rnacentral:rRNA from 1 species